CUUGAGCUUAUUUAGUUGGCGGAAGUGCGGCUGCCUGUAAUAUUUGGCUUUCUGUAGUAACUGCAUACCCAGUGUGAUAUUGCCCUUGUUCAUCAGCAACUCUGGAACCAUCCACAAACAGUGUUUGGUCUGGAGUAAGCAGAGCAGUCUCGUGUACAGUUGGUAAAUGGGUAGUUUCCAUCUUCAUCUGUUCAAAGCAAUCAUGAGGGGUUUCUGAGUCAUGUUCCGGGAAGGUAGGUCUUCACAAAUUUCUGUAUGGUAUCUAGG